rnacentral:rRNA from 1 species
GACGUAGGGCGCGAGCGUUGUCCGGAUUUAUUGGGCGUAAAGAGCUCGUAGGCGGCUUGUCGCGUCGUCCGUGAAAACCAGGGGCUCAACUCCGGGCCUGCAGUCGAUACGGGCUGGCUUGAGUGCGGUAGGGGAGACUGGAAUUCCCGGUGUAGCGGUGAAAUGCGCAGAUAUCGGGAGGAACACCAAUGGCGAAGGCAGCUCGCUGGACGGUACUGACGCUGAGACGCGAAAGCGUGGGGAGCAACA